UUUACGUCCCCGCCCUUUGUACACACCGCCCGUCGCUACUACCGAUUGAAUGGCUCAGUGAGGCGUCCGGACUGGCCCAGAGAGGCGGGCAACUGCCACUCAGGGCCGGAAAGCUCUCCAAACUCGGUCAUUUAGAGGAAGUAAAAGUCGUAACAAGGUCUCCGUUGGUGAACCAGCGGAGGGAUCAUUA
rnacentral:rRNA from 1 species